GAUGAACGCUGGCGGCGCGCCUAACACAUGCAAGUCGAACAGCACCCCUCCUCGGAGGGAAGCGAGUGGCGAACGGCUGAGUAACACGUGGAGAACCUGCCCCCUCCCCCGGGAUAGCCGCCCGAAAGGACGGGUAAUACCGGAUACCCCGGGGUGCCGCAUGGCACCCCGGCUAAAGCCCCGACGGGAGGGGAUGGCUCCGCGGCCCAUCAGGUAGACGGCGGGGUGACGGCCCACCGUGCCGACAACGGGUAGCCGGGUUGAGAGACCGACCGGCCAGAUUUGGACGGAGGCACGGCCCCGACCCCUACGGGGAGCAGGAGGGGGGAAUCUUGCGCAAUGGGGGGAAACCUGACGGAGCGACGCCGGGUGGGGGACGGAGGCCUUCGGGUCGUAAACCGCUUUCAGCAGGGAAGAGUCAAGACUGUACCUGCAGAAGAAGCCCCGGCUAACUACGUG
rnacentral:rRNA from 1 species